rnacentral:rRNA from 1 species
ACGUAGGGUGCAAGCGUUAUCCGGAAUUAUUGGGCGUAAGGAGCUCGUAGGCGGUUUGUCGCGUCUGCUGUGAAAACUGGAGGCUCAACCUCCAGCCUGCAGUGGGUACGGGCAGACUAGAGUGCGGUAGGGGAGAUUGGAAUUCCUGGUGUAGCGGUGGAAUGCGCAGAUAUCAGGAGGAACACCGAUGGCGAAGGCAGAUCUCUGGGCCGUAACUGACGCUGAGGAGCGAAAGCAUGGGGAGCGAACAGGAUUAGAUACCCUGGUAGUCCAUGCCGUAAACGUUGGGAACUAGAUGUAGGGACCAUUCCACGGUUUCUGUGUCGCAGCUAACGCAUUAAGUUCCCCGCCUGGGGAGUACGGCCGCAAGGCUA